CACGUAGGCAACCUGCCUGGAAGACCGGGAUAACAUUCGGAAACGAAUGCUAAUACCGGAUACGCAGUUUCCCCGCAUGAGGGAACUGGGAAAGACGGCGCAAGCUGUCACUUGCAGAUGGGCCUGCGGUGCAUUAGCUAGUUGGUGGGGUAACGGCUCACCAAGGCGACGAUGCAUAGCCGACCUGAGAGGGUGAUCGGCCACACUGGGACUGAGACACGGCCCAGACUCCUACGGGAGGCAGCAGUAGGGAAUCUUCCGCAAUGGACGAAAGUCUGACGGAGCAACGCCGCGUGAGUG
rnacentral:rRNA from 1 species